rnacentral:lncRNA from 1 species
AAUUCGAAUUAAAAAAGCCAAUCAUAAAUGGUGAUAGCUGCUUUCACUUGGGCAAUCAGUUGAAAUACUGAGGUUUGGUCUACCAACAUAUGCAGAAUGAUGCAUAGAACUUAAAUGGCACACAUGGUAAUAGAAACAAAAGUUUUACAUGAACCAUUUAAAAAGAAGAGCUUAUAAAAAUGACCAAAAUGAGAAACUAAUAAUGCAUUUUAUAUGUUACUGGCAUUUGUAAUUUUUGUUUUUAUAGUAGUCACUAUGGUGAAACAUUCUUGGUUGGUUACUCUUUAUAUAGAGUGCAGAAGUAAUCAUAUUCACAGUUUCUAUAAUUAGAAAUAUUAAUUGGUAAAUCUUCCAUUUAUGACUACAUUCCCCAACACACACAUUAUUGGCAUUUGAUUUUGUUUUUAGACCUUUCUUGAUUUCUAUAUGUUGUCAGUUCACUGAAUUUUUCUUGUUAUGGAUAUAAUGUAAUUUUUUUAUUGAAUAAUUAAUUAAUGAUCAUCACUUCAUUUCUAAAACAAUGAGAAAAGAAUACAUGUAAUAUGUAACUUAAUGACGCGCAAACAAGACUUUUUUAAGGAAAGUCAUCUUUUAGUUGAAUGUUUUAAAUCAGUUAUAAGAGGUGCUAGAUAAUUGUUACAAUCACAAAUAAGUGUAUUAUCUGUGAGCCAUAUGUAAUUGAAUGAGCAUGUAGUCUAAUUUUAUUUCCCGGGCUGCAGGAAUUCUAACAUUUAAUAUAGCAUGAAUAAUUACUUUCAGCGAAUCUUAUAAUGUCUUUUAGUAAUUCUUAUCAGGCAGCAAAAAGCACAGUACACCCUGUAGUAUAUUAUACAUAAUAAUUACCACAAAAAACAAUCUUUGGCAAAGCACUUUCUAUAACUUUGCUUAUAUACAUAAAAUUUUCAUGAAUUUCAUACCACCCUAUGUGCUUAUUCAAUGUGAAAUAACAACAAAAAGUAGUUACACAAUAAAAUCAGAAGACCAACUGAACUUAACAUUGAAAUUAUUGUAAGGCAGCAAGUUAAACAAAUUUACCAGAUUAAAUACAUGACAGAUAAAUUACUUGGAGACUGAACAUCCAUCAAUAGUAGUUUUGAUUAGUUUGAAAGAACUUCUUGCCUUAUUACUUUAUACUUUCAUAAACACCUCACCUCACCACCACCCGAUAACAAUCCUUUCAAACUUACAAAAGGAAAAAAAAGGAUUACCUACUAAAUAUUUCAAUGUUCUGAGUUUGCCACCUGGUGCCGAUAUUGACAUAGCACAAAUUAUUACUUUCAGUGUGUCUUGUAGCAAUACUCAUAUGGCAUUUUCAAU